UUUAGAGAAAAUAGAAUGGACUAUUAUUUAUUCAUAAGUUUUCACACAAUAGUGCUCGACGAAUCUAAACUACCACGAAAGUAGUUGAAAAUGAAAUUGAAAAAGAAAAGAAAAGAAACUGUUGAAAAGGGGUUAAAGUAUAUAUAGAACAUUUUUUGGUAAAAUAACAAAAUAUAGUAAUAAAUAACAAAAUAUGGUAAUAAAACAUCAUGACAACUCGAUGCUAGUGCCAUCCUCUGGAAAUCCUUGUAAUCUCCACUUUAUUAGCCAUACAGCAAAGUGUCCAAUGUAAAACAUGGCAAGCUAUUUGAUGUGUCGAUAUAAAUGUUUAGCCCAAACGGGUAACCUGACACAAAUAUAUCUUCAGCUAGACAAGCAACAAAUAUGGUUAGUACAAGUAUGUUCGAGUUCAUUUACUGAGUUUCAUUGGGUAAUACUUAUAAUAUGGAAUGAGAAAAAGAGAUGACAUAAAAUGUGUUUGAUGUUAAAAUAUGGUAUUAGUGAAUGAUUUGAAUAUAAAUACUUAUAUGAUAUGAAUUGGUAUGUUAUAAAUUUUCUAUAUUAUAUGAUUGAUUAUAUAUAAAAGCUCACCUUAUUGUUGUGAUUUGAUAUGUUAGGAACACUUUGUCAAGUUAAAUAGUUUAAUUUGAUUAAUUGUAAGUCAAAGUAAGUUUCUCGUCUAAAUGCCUAUGAACUUGCUAAGCAUCUGAAAUGCUUACCCCGUUGUUUUUCUCUUCCCUAUAGAUUGUUGACUUACGAAACAUGUUGAUCAGAUCUAUGAGAAGCUCACACUAUCCCGUGUUUAAUUUGGUAUUUUUCAAACAUUUUAAGGUCUGAUUAUGUGGCAUGUACAUAGGUGUUUGUUUUGGUUAAAUUUGGUAUAAUGAUAUAGUUUGAAACCUAUGCUAAGUAUCAAUUUGCAAUAUACUAAAGUUUGUAAUAUGAUAUGCUUUUGGGUAAAUAUGGUUUGAAUUGAGCAUAUGAAAUUUGAAAUGGUAUUUUGAGUAUUUACAUAGGUAAGAUGAUGAAAUGGAGUGGUUAAAAAAGCGUGGAUGAUUAGGUUGACCUUACUAAGUUAAAUUGUUAUGUUUUGAUGUCAAAUUGUGGAAAUGUUGGUUUGGAUUAUUUGAAAUGGUUGAAUGGAAUGUUUUGGCAUGUAUUUAGAUUAGUUUUGUGCAAAAAAAGUUGUGUAGUAUGCACCAAAAUGUUGGAAUUAUGAGGUUGACAUGAAAUAGAUACCAAAUGGCCUAACUUGUACCAAAAACAGAUUCAUCGUCUCAACAACCACAUUUCCUCGUCUUAACAUCAGUCGAUAGUAUGUGAUGUCGCAACAUCGAGUGACCUAACUCAUAACGUGACAAACUUUUUAGAGAUGUUGCAAUCUGCAGGAGGUGGCGUCACGACGACCCUAAAAUUUUGAAAUAUUACAAUUUGGUUCUAUUUCAUACUCAGGUCAAUAACAGAGCUUUCAUAAGCUCAAUUGAGACUUGAAAAAGAAUGUGUAUCAUUAUGUGAACAUGUUUAUGAAAUUAUUACAUGUCUAAAUAGUUUAUUUACCAGUGAUUUGAUGAUAGUUGCUCUAACAACAGUUGUAGCAUCUCAUAGCUCAGAUCUGACAACUGGGUUAGUCGAGGAGUGUUGUAGUUGAAUUUUGAGUAGGACUAUUUUAGCGAAUAGAAGUUUUGUGUAGAGUUCGGAUGUCCCACGUAAAAGGUGUAGCAUGAAUAAAAAUUUACUCAGUUUAACCAACAAGUGUUUAUAAAAUUUUAACAAAAUGCAAAAUCAAGCAUUUCACUAAAUUGAAGCUCAAUCAAACUUGCAAGGCAAUUGUUGUCAAUCAAAUUAUUCAACAAGUUUGAGAAAUAAUCAAAUAUUUUUACUUGAGAUGAGAUGACAACUCAAGCACCUCAUCUCAGUUACUCAAUUUGAUAUGUCUCCAAACAAAUUAUUUUCCCCUACGAAUGGCAGCUCGAUUAAUGGAGUGUUUGCGAGUUUCAGUUCUUCACUUGAAUCAUUUUACGCGAGGUGAAAUGAUAACCCAAGCACCUUAUCCCGGUUACUUAAUUUGGUCACAUUUUUGAAAUCUUCACUCAUAACCUAGCCAUCAGCGGAGUAGCAUAUGUAUAUAUACAUAUAUAUUUUUUAUUAACAUAAAAUAAAAUGACUAAAACGAGAUACGAUUACUUUUAUUAAGCAAGUUUAAAGAACUAACAAUUUUCAUGGGAUGUUGAUUUAACCAUAAUAUUUUCAAUUCUACAAAACACUUGUCAAUCAAACUAAGCAAUGUGCAAUUAUUCAUGAAUCGCCCAACCAUUUGAAUUAACUAAGCAGAGGAAUUAAAGACUCAAUUUCAGACAAAUUAAUGAAUAAACUUAGUAUAAGAAUUAACACAUGCAAUGAAGAGAAAAAAAUAGCAUGGCAUGUCCUACAAAUCCCCCUACUUAAUAAGUUGUGUGCAAGCUACCCACAACAUGGCCUAACUGAACAAUCACUUAUUCAAUAUUUCUAUAAGCGGUUACUCCCUAUGGAAAUGAAGAUGAUUGAUGCCAUAAGUGGAGGGGCACUUGUUAACAUAACUCCUUAAAGAGUGUAGAAAAUUUAUAUUUGGUGGUCUCGAUAACCAUCAAAUAUAUUGAUGGCACUUGUUGGGAUUUGUAGGACAUGCCAUGUUAUUAUUUACUCUGUAUUGCAUGUGUUGAUUCUUAUAUUAAGAUUAUCCCUUAAUUUAUUUGAAAUUGAGCCUUUAAUUCCUAAGCUUAGUUAAUUCAAAUGGUUAGGUGAUUCAUGAAUAAUUGCUUAUUGCUUAGUUUGAUUGACAAGUGUUUUGUAGAAUUGAUAAUAUUAUGGUUAAAUCAACAUCCCAUGAAAAUUAUUAGUUCUUUAAACUUGCUUAAUAAAAGUACUUGUAUAUCAUUUUAGUCAUUUUAUUUUAUGUUAAUAAUAUAUAUGCAUAUAUAUAUUACUUCGCUAAUGGAUAGGUUAUGAGUGAAGGUUUUGGAAAUGUGACCAAAUUGAGUAACCGAGAUAAGGUGCUUGAGUUGUCAUCUCACCUCGCGUAAAAAGAUUCAAGUGACGAACCAAAACCUGCAAACACUCUGCUAGCCGAGUUUCCAUGAGUAGGGGAAAAAUAAUUCGUUUAGAGACGUAUCAAAUCGAGUAAUAAAAGUACUUGUACCUCAUUUUAGUCAUUUUAUUUUAUGUUAAUAAUAUAUAUAAGAAUAAAUAUACUACUCCAUUGAUGAAUAGGUUAUGAGUGAAGAUUUUGGAAAUGUGAGCAAAUUAAGUAACCGAGAUAAGGUUCUUGGGUUGUUCUCUCACCUUGCAUAAAAAGAUCCGAGUGACGAACCGAAACUUGCAAACACUCUGGUAAUCAAGCUGUCAUGAGUAAGGAAAAAUUGAGUAACCUGGAUUAGGUGCUUGAGUUGUCAUCUCAUCCCACGUAAAAAUAUUUGACUAUGUCCAAAACUUGUUGAAUAAUUUGAUCGAGAACAAUUGCCUUGAAAGUUUGAUUGAGCUUCAAUUUAGUGAAAUGCUUGAUUUUGCAUAUUGUUAUAAUUUUAUAAACACUUGUUAGUUAAAGUGAGUAAACUCUUAUUCAUGUUACACCUAAAUUAUUGCAUUGCGCAUGGUUUUUGAAUGAGACUUGAUUUCAGGAAAAGUCAUUGAAUGAUUUCUAGUAUGAGAAUGUGCAACAUGCUUGAGGACAAGUAUCAUCUAAGUAGGGGAAUUUGAUAGCAAGUUAACUUAUAUGUUUAAUACACCAAAUUUUGGUCAAUUUUUUUAAUAGAAUACUACUAAGCUUGUGAUUUCUUGCCUAAAUUUUAUCAUGGACGGAAUUAGAGUGCUGAAGUUCAAAAAAAGCAAAAAAUUAGGUUAAAUUAAAGCAAGUUGAGGGUUGAAUUAAAAAAUUCAAAAUUAUUUUUGAGCUGAUAAAAAAUAUCAGACUUUUGACUUUGACAAAUUGUAUAUUUAGAAAAAUAUGAUUUAGUGGUUGGUUGUUAAACAUGAUUCUAGGCGUAAAUCAUGUGAAAUUAGUUCUUUGAAAGGUGUAUACAAAGGCUUGUAAUUGUGGCAUUAGAAAUGACGUAGGGUUCCUUCCCGAUUCUCUGCUCAAGGAUGACUCCUUUACUGGGAUAAGUUGCAUCACACAUGAUCUUGAAGGGAUAAUCCCAAUUCAGUCGCUACACUAUGAGAGUUGAAACAAGCUUAUGCUUGAGAGUAUUGAAUGCGUCCUUACACGCUUGAUCGAAUUCGAAUCCUUUGUCUUUUUGCAAGAGAUUACAAAGCAGUUGUGAAAUCUUCGAAAAAUCCUUAAUAAAACACCUAUAAAAACCUACAUGACUAAGAAAAGAAAGGAUUUCCCUUACAUUCGUGGGGUAUGGAAGUGAGUAAUGUCAUGUUUGGCCUUAUCGACCACAAUCUCUUCAAUGGAGACAACAUGACCUAAAUUUAAUCCCUUAUCAACCAUAAAAUUACAUUUUUCAUAGUUUAGAAUGAGAUUAAGUUCUAGACAUCUUUCCAAAAUCUUACUGAGGUUUGACAGACAUUCACUGAAAGAAUCACCAUACACCGUGAAGUCAUCCAUAAAUGCAUAAAUUAUUUUCUUAACAUAGUCAAAAAAUAUGUUUACCAUACACCUCUAAAAUAUGGACAAUAUGGAAAAAGAACAUGCAGACAUCGUCUUUUCUUGGUCUAUAGGCAAAUGUGCCAAAAGGGCAUGUGAACGUCGUCUUUUCUUGGUCUUCCGGUGCCACUAGAAUUUGGAAGAAACCUAAAUAGCUAUCAAGACAGCAAUAGUAAAAUUUAUCGGUUAAGCAUUCGAGCAUUUGGUUAAUGAAAGGAAGUGGAAAUUGGUCUUUUCAAGUCAAAAAAUUCAACUUCCUGUAGUUUAUGUAGACAUUCCAUUAAUUUUGGACCCGAGUGGGAACCAAUUCAGAAAGCUGGCAAUUGAGCAUCAAUUAAUCUCUGGAAUGAUUUGUGACUACUAAGACUUGGUCAAGGAAAGGUGCAAACUCAAGACAUUAACAUAAAUUAUAAGAAUGUUUUAAACUUAAUAGAUAUGGACACUUUUACUUGGAAAUUUGAAGUAUUGAGGGCUUAUUUGAUGACGAACAGGUGAGAAGGAUUUGGCAAUCCCACUUGCUAGUAGUGCACAGACAAAUGAAGUGGUGUGGCAUAAAGACAACACUAGUGUCUAUAUAGAUAAAAGAGGAUACAAGUGGCUAAUUACAGAGGAGUUGGAUUUGCUAGGAUAUGAUUACACAACACAUUCUACAGUACUAAAAGCUUUCUAUACAAAGUUGUGGAAUUUAAAUAUCCCAUGCACAAUCAAGAUUGCAAUGUGGAAAAUUGGUAAUGGGUAUUUUCCUACAUUACAAAUGUUAAAACAAGGACUGCAGUAGGAAACCUUUGUCUUAUCUACCAAAUUGAGGAGGAAUCAAUAGAGCACCUGUUUCAGGAAUGUUCGUUCACGCGACAAAUCUUGCAGAGGAUUGGUGUGGUGUUCUCAACCACAAAUGGAAAGCAAAAUUAGGAACUUUGGUUGGCAGAAGAGUUUAUAAACAACAGUCGCUCUAUGUGCAAAACAAUAGCUAUUAGCUAUUAGGCAUUAUGGUACAAUCGAAACAAGGUAUAUCAUGAGGGGGCAAGGAAACAUAUGCAUAAAGUACUAGAUUUUAUCAAGGCUUAUAUUUUAGAGAUGGAAAAAUUGGAAGUUUCAGGCAGUAAGAAUGAUAUGCAGGUGUUCGAUAAUAUGUUUGAGAUAAGCACAAUAUAGCUUUCUCGCAAGGUGCUUGUGCUGGUUUAGUAUUUCUGUUAAAUGCUUGAUACUGGCUUAUGAUUUAAGUCUGUUAUUUCUGGUACAGUUGUAACUUGUUUGUUAUUUUUUGCUAACAAAUUAUCUAGAACACCUGAACUGCUAUAAGUAGCCUGGGUGCUACUCUUCAUUCUGAAUGCUUAUAAUGUUGAAUAAGAAAUAGAGUGUUACACUCAAAAUCUCUCUCACUUGUUCUUCUUUUUCCUUCUUUUUAUUCUGUUAUCUGUGAUUUCUUUCUAAUUCAUAAACAUCAUGAUUUCUUCAUCUUUUAUGUUUUGCUUUCAGAAUACAUCAAUGUUAUAGUUUCUUUUAUAAUGUACGCAGCUUUUUGACAUGGUAUCAGAGUUUUGGAAUUGAUGAUAAUCAGCUGUGAUUUACGUCUACCGUGUGUUUGAUUAAAUGUCUCUGUAAGCAGAAUCUCUUGUUCUUCUGCUAUUAUUUUUGUUCUUGAGUGAUCUUUGGCUGCGAUGUCUGUCAAUAAUUCUGAACAAAAUGAAUCGAUGAAUAAUGAAACUGUGAAUCCUGCUUUUGAGGUCAGAUCUGAUGUUAGUAAAUCAUUUACUGCCAUUUUGACCAAGAAAAUAUCUCUGUUGAUUGAUGAAAGCAAUUUUCUGUCAUGGAAACAACAUGUUUACCUAACUUUGAAAACACAUAGGCUACAAAGUUAUGUAGAGGGAACUAUAGCUAUUCCUCCUAGGGUGAUUAACAUUGAUUCGGGAGUACAAAUAGAAAAUCCUACUUUUGUUUCGUAUGAGCAACAAGAUUCUACUCUUGCGUCAUGGUUGAUGUCCUCAGUCAGUCAUUCUCUGCAUACACAUCUGGUUGGCUUGCACUCUGCUUUUGAAAUAUGGAAUAAGCUGAAUCAGAUAUUUGCUCUUCACUCACGAACUAAGAGAAUGCAGUAUAGAUGCAUGUUGCAUAAUGUUAAGAAGCAAGAUAAGACAAUGAGAGAAUGUUUAGCAGAAAUUAAGCAUAUCUGUGAUGUGUUGUCUGGAUGUGGUCAAAAUAUUCAUGAGGAGGAACAACAAUUUACUAUUCUUAACGGUUUACCUAUCGAAUAUAAGAACAUUGUUUCAAUUAUUACUUCUAGUCAGCAUCCUUAUGAUCUUCAAGGAGUUGUUUCAGCUUUGUUGGAUGCAGAGGCGAGGAUAAAACUUCAGGGAAAUGUCAUUAGUAUAACUGCUAAUGUAGCUGUGCAGCAGCAACUCCCGGCAAAUAGCAGUGAUAGUACUAAGUCGAAUGAUCAGACUCUUAAUUCUAGCUCUGAAGGUAUGAAUGUUCAGACCAGAUCAUAUUAUCAGGGUAAUGGCAGGUUUAGACCACGUGGUAGAGGAGGAAGGUACUCAAAUAAUUCGAGACCCCAAUGUCAAUUAUGUGGUAAGAUAGGGCAUUUGGUCUCUAAAUGUUUUCAUCGGUUUAAUGCUUCAUUCACUGGUAUUUCUGACUCUACUGCUACUAAUUCUCAGUCAUCAAACUAUGUUAAGCCUUCUGAAGGUGUGAAUGGUUUUUAUUGCUAUCCUGGUCCCACUACUGGUUUUACUAUGUUUAGUCCUCAAGUUGGACAUCCUGGUUUUACUGGGUUGAAUACUCAAGGUAAUCUUGCUGGUUCUGGAGGACUUAAUGUGUCUGCACAUAUACCUUCUACUGGAAUGCCUCCUACUCAUGCUGGUACUUCACAUUUUGCUGCAUAUAACUGCAGUAUGCCGAUAGUCAGCAAUAUCAGUCCUGCAAACCCUUAUGUUAUGUCCUGUAACAAUGGUAAUCCUUUUGUUAGUGGUGCUGGCUCUUUUUGUUCAGGUUCUACUCAAGCUAGUUCAGAAGGUAAUCGAAUCUCUCAGUGUUUGCAAGCUACACCAGCAGUGGUUGUAGAUCCGGCUUGGUACCCAGAUACUGGUGCAACUGGGCAUCUCACACAUGAUUCCACAUGCUUACAGCACUCUAAUCCUGCUACAAGUAUAGUUCAAGUCGGUAAUGGUUCUUGUGCAACUUUUUCCACUGAUAAAAAAGAACUGCACUUAAACAAAUUGUUUUAUGCUCCUGAUAUUACCAAAAAUUUAAUUUCAGUAUCCCAAUUCACCAAAGACAAUAAUGUAUCAUUUGAAUUUUUUCCCAAAUAUUGUGUUGUUAAAGAUCUCACUACGCAGGCUGUUCUGGCACAAGGAGUUGAAGUUGAUGGUCUCUACAAAUUGGAUGUGAAUCAGAAAUUUAGUGCUCUUUCGUAUCUCUCGUCUGAUCUUUCAUGCUUUACCACUAGUGUUAGUUCAAAUAAUAAUGAUUGUGUGAAAUGUAAAAGUUUAACUUCUCAUGAGUUGUGGCAUCGUAGGUUAGGACACACUUCGACACACAAUCUUGCACAUCUAGCUUCCACAUCUGCUAUUCCUGUUAAAGUUCUCAAGAAUUUUCCUCUAUGUGUUGCUUGUCAAUUUGGAAAAAGUCAUAAACUACCAUUUACAUCAUCAACCACUGAGUAUACUUCUCCUUUACAACUUAUUCAUUGUGAUGUUUGGGGACCAGCUCCAUGUGUGUCUUCUGGGUAUAAAUACUAUAUUUCAUUCAUCGAUGCAUAUUCAAGACAUGUUUGGAUUUUUCUUUUGAAACAGAAGUCUGAGGCUCUGUCUGCAUUUCUUGUGUUCAAAAAGCAAGUUGAAACAAUGUUUGAUAAAAAGAUUAAGGCGUUGCAAACUGAUAGUGGUGGAGAGUUUAGAUCAUUUGUACAGUACUUGCAAUCAUUUGGCAUACAACAUAGAUUAACCUGUCCUCAUACUUCUGAACAGAAUGGUUUAAUUGAACGAAGACAUAGACAAAUUGUAGAAAUAGGUCUUACUUUACUUGCACAAAGUUCCAUGCCUUUAAAAUACUGGUCUGAUGCUUUUACUUACGCUAUUAAUAUAAUAAACAUCUUACCUUCCAAGGCUAUAAAUAAUAAAACUCCUUUUGAAAAAUUGUAUCAAGUUAAGCCUGAUUACUCUCUUAUUCGAGUGUUUGGAUGUCAUUGUUUUCCCUUGUUGACACAUUAUAAUCACAAUAAACUGCAGUUUCGGUCUAUAUCUUGCAUUUUUUUGGGCACGGUUGCUAACCAUAAGGGUUAUAAGUGUCUUGCACCUAAUGGUCGAGUGUAUAUAUCUCGACAUGUUAAGUUUCAGAAAGAUAUUUUUCCUUUUUCACUAAAGGCUGACAUGCACAUUUCUUCACCUUCUUCACACACUCCAUUUACUACAGUUCAUUUACCUAUUGUUUCGCCACCUGAUCUAACUACUAAUGCUAAUUUUUGUUCUUCAUUGCAGCAGUCUAAAUCGCCAUCACUAAUAUCUACUCCUCCUCCAUCUCAUUCUCCAAAUUCUGGUUUUACUCCGUUCAACUCUCAAAAUAAUGAUUCUAACAUAAACUGCACUUCCUCAUCUCAGGAUCACUCACCUAAUUUUUCAUACGAUGGGCACCAAUCUCAAAGUUUGCCAAAUUCUGCAUCUGCACCUACGUUUGAAAUGCAGUCUCAAGAUAUACCAAACCCGUCUCAACUUAAUAGUCACCCCAUGAUCACAAGGGGCAAGUUAGGUAUUGUAAAAUCAAAAAUUAUCACUUAUCAAGUUACUAAUAUACCUUUUUCUCCUGCAGAUAUUCAUGAAGCUAUGCAGUUUCCUCAAUGGUAACAAGCCGUUCAUGAUGAACUUGAUGCUUUGGUGAGAAAUCAAACUUGGGACUUAGUUCCCUUACCAUCAAAUCGACAUGCUGUGGGAUGCAAGUGGUUGUUCAAGGUAAAGAAACGAGCUGAUGGUACUGUGGAUUGCUUCAAAGCUCGGUUGGUUGCCAAGGGUUAUGCUCAGAAAAUAGGCUUCGACUUCCAUGACACGUUCAGUCCAGUCGCAAAAGCAAAUACUGUUCGCACUCUCCUUUCCUUGGCAGUUACUCAUGGUUGGGAAUUGAGGCAAGUAGAUGUCAACAAUGCAUUCCUCAAUGGAGAUCUUGUUGAGGAAGUGUAUAUGCAACAACCCCUCGGUUUUGAGCAGCGAAAUAUCGAAGGUCAACCUCUUAUUUGCAAACUACGAAAGGCCCUUUAUGGUCUCAAACAAGCGCCGAGAGCUUGGUUUCAAAAGCUCAAAGAUUUUUUGUGUUCCAAUCUGAAUUUUCAAGCUUCAUGUGCCGACCCUUCUUUAUUCACACGUCAAAAUGAAGGAACUAGGGUAUGGUGUCUGGUAUAUGUUGAUGACAUUAUUCUCACUGGUAGCAAUUUAAAGGACCUAAGUGAUGUUAUUCAUCAAUUAAACAAAGCGUUUUCUCUUAAGGAUUUGGGACCUUUGCAUUAUUUUCUUGGAGUAAAAGUGCAUAGACGUAAUGGAACUCUACAUCUAUCGCAGAAAAAAUAUAUUCGUGAGUUAAUCAAUCGUGCUGAGAUGACUUCUGCUGGCUCAGUACCCACUCCAAUGGUCGUGUCUCCUACUCUCACUUCAACUAAUGGUCAAUUGUUACCUACGUCCAAGGCUGUUUUAUAUAGAAGCAUUGUGGGUGGACUUCAAUAUGCAUGUCUUACCCGUCCCGGUAUAGCUUUUGCUGUAAACAAACUCAGUCAGUUCAUGCAUUCUCCAACUGACAAGCACUGGGUGUCAGUAAAACGAGUACUACGAUAUCUUCAAGGAACUAUCGAGUUUGGCCUUUAUUACACUCCAGCGGAUCAGGUUGAUAUUACAGCUUUUUCAGAUUCAGAUUGGGGCAGCUCUCUUGAAGAUAGGAGGUCUACUUCUGGUUUCUGUAUCUACAUAGGUGGCAACCUCAUUGGUUGGUCAUCCAAGAAGCAACAUGUAGUGGCACGCUCCACAUCUGAGGCAGAAUUUCGAAGUGUCGCCAAUACUGUGGCUGACAUCGCUUGGUUCAUCCAUCUUCUGACUGAUCUUGGAGAGAAGUGUUAUGGAAUUCCAACUAUAUGGUGCGAUAAUUCUGGUGCUGUCCAGAUAUCAGCAAAUCCUGUUCUUCAUUCCAAGAUGAAACAUGUUGAACUUGAUCUUCAUUCUGUUCUUCAUUCCAAGAUGAAACAUGUUGAACUUGAUCUUCAUUUUGUCCGGGAAAAAGUAGUAAAGGGUGAUCUUCAAAUCAAUCAUAUUGCUGCACACAAUCAAGUUGCGGAUCUAUUCACUAAACCUUUAAGUGAAUCUCAAUUUGUUGCGCUGCGAUCAAAGCUUGGAUUAUGUCAACUCUGCUCAGUAUCCACGGCUUUUGUUUUCUCGGAAGAGGAGAAAACAGGGGGAAUAUCAGGCAGUAAGAAUGAUAUGUAGGUGUUCGAUAAUAUGUUUGAGAUAAGCACAAUAUAGCUUUCUCGCAAGGUGCUUGUGCUGGUUUAGUAUUUCUGUUAAAUGCUUGAUACUGGCUUAUGAUUUUAGUCCGUUAUUUUUGGUACAGCUGUAACUUGUUUGUUAAUUUUUGCUAACAAAUUAUCUAGAACACCUGAAUUGCUAUAAGUAGCCUAGGUGCUACUCUUCAUUCUGAAUGCUUAUAAUGUUGAAUAAGAAAUAGAGUGUUACACUCAAAAUCUCUCUCACUUGUUCUUCUUUUUCCUUCUUUUUAUUCUGUUAUCUGUGAUUUCUUUCUAAUUCAUAAACAUCAUGAUUUCUUCAUCUUUUAUGUUUUGCUUUCAGAAUACAUCAAUGUUAUAGUUUCUUUUAUAAUUUACGCAGCUUUUCGACAGGAAGAUAUAACAGUACCAAUGCAAAACCCUAGAGUUAGUAAAUGGGAGCCACCAGAAGGUGGUAGUGUUAAAGCAAACUUUGAUGCCUCAUUUCAUCAACAGUCAAAUAAAUCAGUCUCGGUGAUUUUAAUUAGAAACAGGGAGGGCCUAGUUAUGUUAGCGUGUACUUACCUGAAUGAGCAUGUGUUAAAAUCAACCAUGGCAAAAGCGCAAGCAUGUUUGAAACCUGUAAUUUUCACGAAUGAACUAGGGUUUAGGAGGAUUUUGGUAGUAGGGGACACCUUAAAUGUUUUCAAGAGAGUAAGGACGACAGAGGAGGAUAAAUCGAACAUCAGUAAUCUAGUCAAUGAAGUAAAAGAAAUGAUUUGUAGGUUUGAAAAAAUAGAAUUUCGACACGUACCUUAGAAAGCUAAUGAAGCAGUGCACAGUUUGACAGAGGAGGGUAGGCGUUAUGAAACCCCCAAAUAUUGGAUAGAAGAGGCUCCAAAGAGAGUGGAAGAACCAGUAAAUCAAGAUUGACAUGGACUACAAGGAGAGGGAUGAAGAAUGAGGCUACUGAGACCGAAGGAACUAUGACUAUUUGGACUUCGAUGAACUCAGAUUUUCAUGGAGGGAUCGAGCCGUAAACGGAAGCAUAGCUAAGACCAACGGGAGGAAAAAAGGACCGCUUCUGGUGUUUUACUGAUGUAAUUAUCGAACCAGCGAAAUGGAAAGGAAGAUGGUUCAUUUCCCUUCAUUUCUUUACUGUUUUUGGUUUUGUUUCCCUUUGGAAAUCUAUUUUGGUUUUUAGAUGGGGGUUAUCCGCAAUUUUUAAAUUCUGUUACUUUCAAGGCAUUGCCCGUUCGACCAAUAAGAUUGACGCAGAAGAAAAGUUGAUCAGUGGGCAUGGGAAUUGUAACCGAU
rnacentral:lncRNA from 1 species